AGUUAAGGAAAGAAGAGCGUAUGGUGAAUGCCUAGGCACUCAGAGCCGACGAAGGACGUGACGAACUACGAAAAGCCUCGGGGAGUUGUAAGUAAACAGAGAUCCGGGGGUGUCCGAAUGGGGAAACCCGGCAGCAGAAGGCUGUCACACCUUUAGGGGUGGGGGAACGCAGGGAACUGAAACAUCUUAGUACCUGCAGGAAAAGAAAGUAAGAACGAUUUUCCGAGUAGCGGCGAGCGAAAGGGAAAGAGCCAAUUACCGUGAAGGAGUCAAAAACCUUGAUCAUAGUCGAACCGAAUUGGAAAAGCGGGACGGAGAGGGUGAAAUCCCCGUAGACGAAAUGGUCGAGGCUCUGGUAAGGAAGUACGGCGAGGCACGUGGAACCUUGUCGGAAGACGGGAGGACCAUCUCCCAAGGCUAAAUACUACUGAGUGACCGAUAGUGAACCAGUACCGUGAGGGAAAGGUGAAAAGGACCCCGGGAGGGGAGUGAAAGAGAACCUGAAACCAUAUGCUUACAACAAGUCAGAGCCCGUUAAGGGGUGAUGGCGUGCCUUUUGUAGAAUGAACCGGCGAGUUAUGAUAGUGUGCGAGGUUAAGGUUGAAGGACCGGAGCCGAAGCGAAAGCGAGUCUGAAUAGGGCGAGGGAGUACACUGUUAUAGACCCGAAACCGUGCGAGCUAGAUAUGAGCAGGUUGAAGUUGGGGUAACACCCAAUGGAGGACCGAACCGUAGUCCGUUGAAAAGGGCCCGGAUGACUUGUGUCUAGGGGAGAAAUUCCAAUCGAGCUCGGAGAUAGCUGGUUCUCACCGAAAUAGCUUUAGGGCUAGCGUCGGAGGAAAGUUUAUCGGGGGUAAAGCACUGAAUGUCUGAUGGCCUCAUCUCGGGGUACUGACUACAAUCAAACUCUGAAUACCGAUAAACAUAUCCGGCAGUCAGACUACGGGUGAUAAGGUUCGUGGUCAAGAGGGAAACAGCCCAGAUCGCCAGUUAAGGUCCCGAAAUUCAUGCUAAGUGGGAAAGGAAGUAGACCCGUUUAAACAGCUAGGAGGUUGGCUUAGAAGCAGCCACCCUUUAAAGAGUGCGUAACAGCUCACUAGUCGAAUAGGUCCGCGCCGAAAAUGUACCGGGGCUAAGCAUGAUACCGAAACUGCGGAAUACGCCGCAAGGCGGAUUGGUAGGUGAGCGUUCCAAGGGCGACGAAGGCAGACCGAGAGGACUGUUGGAGCGCUUGGAAGUGAGAAUGCCGGUAUGAGUAACGAAAAGAUGGGUGAGAAUCCCAUCCGUCAAAAGUCCAAGGUUUCCAGGGGAAGGUUCGUCCGCCCUGGGUUAGUCAGGUCCUAAGGUGAGGCUGAAGAGCGUAGCUGAUGGACAACAGGUUGAUAUUCCUGUACUACUUGUCUGACUGAAGGAGUGACAAAGGAAGAUAGCCAGAGCCGGCGAAUGGAUGUCGGUUGAAGGUGGCGAGGAGGUUUCGCAGGCAAAUCCGCGGGACAUGAACUCUGAGCGCUGAUCACGCAAGUCAGGUGAAUCUCGACUUUCAAGAAAAGCUUCUAGGGAUAAUCAGGCAAGUACCUGUACCGUAAACCGACACAGGUGGACGAGGAGAGAAUCUAAAGACGCGCGAGAUAACCCUUGUUAAGGAACUCGGCAAAUUGACCCCGUAAGUUCGCGAGAAGGGGAGCUUUAAGCAAUUAAAGCCGCAGAGAAG
rnacentral:rRNA from 1 species